rnacentral:rRNA from 1 species
GAUGAACGCUAGCUACAGGCUUAACACAUGCAAGUCGAGGGGCAGCGCAGUGUAGCAAUACAUGGGCGGCGACCGGCGCACGGGUGCGUAACGCGUAUCCAACCUUCCCGUUACUCAGGGAUAGCCUUCCGAAAGGGAGAUUAAUACCUGAUGGUGUUCAAAUUCCGCAUGUUAUUUGAACUAAAGAUUCAUCGGUAACGGAUGGGGAUGCGUGACAUUAGAUAGUAGGCGGGGUAACGGCCCACCUAGUCUACGAUGUCUAGGGGUUCUGAGAGGAAGGUCCCCCACACUGGAACUGAGACACGGUCCAGACUCCUACGGGAGGCAGCGGUGAGGAAUAUUGGUCAAUGGUCGGAAGACUGAACCAGCCAAGUAGAGUGAAGGAUGAAGGUUCUAUGGAUUGUAAACUUCUUUUAUACGGGAAUAAAACCUCCCACGUGUGGGAGCUUGUAUGUACCGUAUGAAUAAGCAUCGGCUAACUCCGUGCCAGCAGCCGCCGUAACAC